UGGGAGAGCACAUGCUCCUGGGCCAGGCCUGGGGCCACUGGUCCCUGAGCAAGUCUGCCAGCCUUCUGAGCAGAGCUGUCCCUGGCUUGGGGGCCUCUCCAGUCUGGCUGUUCCCCCAUGGGGGAGACUUGCCCCUCCAUAGAGAAGCUCUAUAACGUCCUGCCGCGCACUGUGCAGGGUCUGUUGGCAGAUGCGGUGCUCAUCUUCAGCUCCCUCCAAGCAGUGUGUAUUAUACAGUCAAGGUCAUGAUCUCAAAGUGUCAAAUGUCCUGGAAAGAGGUUCAGAAGACGUCUCUGAAAAGAGAGGAUCAGAAGACUUGUUUCUGCUCCUAGCUAGUCACCCAGAGAAUGCUCUUCAGUCUGGACAGGGAAAAAUAACCCUACUGAGUUCAUGCUUGGUGAGAAGAUGCCUGAGAAGAACUGCAGCCUUCAAAAAGAGUUGUACCAGCAGGUAUGAUGGGCAGAAUUGAUUUCCUACUUCUGCUCAUACAGGGCACGACGGAGAGCUCAAACGUGGAUUUCCAUUUUGGGUCUCCUAUUUCAAAGGGUGUAUGAGGCAGGGCAGAGAGAUCCCCCGGGAAAGCAGUUGGUCUUUGAAUAUGGACCACUGGACCCAAGAAAGCUGCUGGAUCAUUUAUCAGACAGGUUUUGAAACCAAGAAAGAGGACAUCAUCUGUCUGAGAAGUUAUCAUCUCACUGCCCAUUCUUCCCUACCCCAUCCCUGCCCAACAUGAACACAUUUCAAUCUAAACCUGGAAAUAGUAUGACAAGGUCUAGUGACUUCAAAGUAAAGGCGAACUAAGUUCUCUCUUCCAUUGACAAGCUACAUGUAAAGUUUGUUUCAUGCCUCAGUAAGAUUACUAAAUUCCACUUAGCUUCUUCCAAUGAGGUCUUUCCACACGUGCCAAUUACCUCCCAAUUAAUACAAUCAAGUAACCACCUUAUAAACAACUUUUAAUUUUGAAUGUCAGGUUAACAUUUUUCCUCAUUCUCUUCCACCCAUCGUUUCAUGAAAUUUCAAGGCUUGAGCUUUCUCCACUUCCUCUGUCACUCAGUUUAAGACUAGGCAGGGCUGGGGCAGUGAGGAACAUUUCUGUGAACAGCUGAUGAAGGGCUUGUGUCUGCUUAUUUCUGAAAUGAACUAGUCUCAUGUAAGCAACAAGGUUUAACAUGAUUUUGUGUUUUUUUUGGUACCAGGGAUCAAACUCGGGACCUUGUGCUUGCAAGGCAGGUGGCAGCACC